AAAGCAGGUAGGACGUCAUGACGGAGACCGGGUCGGUGUUGGUCGGAGAAACGUCGUCGUCUUCUUCUUCGUGGACAACCGUCGUAGCUGGAUGUGUCCACAGAAACGCCUGGUGAACUUUGUGCCCCGUUCGUAAUUGUACCUGCGGCUGCUGUCAACACCCGAGCCUCGACACAGAUGAGGCAGUUCAGCAGAGCCUUGCUGCGGAUGUUGUGGUUGAUGAAAGCCACUGGAGAGUCCAGUCCAGCCAGAGCCAGCCAGGUUCGUGACCCAUGAGAAGUGCCACCGUGUCUCCAGCUCUGUGGCCGGGCUGAGCCUGCAGAUCGUUGGCCACUCUGCUGCCCAGCCCGGCGGUCUGGUUGAAGGAGAAAGUUUCUCCCUCGAACACAAUGAACGGUUUGUUUGGAUGCGCAGCUCCAAGAAACGAUCCACCACUAAGAACCGGAGGGGUUUCCUCCUGUACCAGGACAGCAUCGUUAACGAAGUGCGCAGCAUGUUCGUAGCGUACCGCACAUCCGCCCACAGGUAAAGGCAAGAUCUUCUCAGCGUGAACGGCAGGACGAGAAGACUCGCUAAAAGCGCAGAGAUAAUGUACAAAAUCAUGAUGUUUUCUGCCGCAAAGUGAGGGAAAACACGCAGAACUCAGGAACCGUUGUUGGAUGACGUCAGAGACGUGACUGAGUGGGCGUGGCUGUGUCUAUAGGAAAAAAAAUCGAUUGGAAAAACGGAAACCUCCCUGUCCGACCUGCGUUAUGACCCGAUUACCAUCUGCUCUGGAUUAUUGACUAGAUGACUAGAUUUUGAAGUAUCGUCACUUCAUAUGUUUGUGAUCUUCAAUGUGGAUGUGAUUUUGGGUACUUCACAAAAAACUAUUGGACUCAGUGGAUAAUCUAAUAAUCCCAGUGUUUCCCAACCUUUUUGAGCUACGAAGCAUAUUGUUCAUUUUUAAAUGUAAACAGAAUAAAGAUUGUUUAAUCUGAAGACUAUGUGAACCCAGUGCCUCAGGUCUGGGUCAGUGCGUUAGUCUAACCUCAUUGAUAAGCUCAGCUCUAUGGAGGAAGAGCCACUUCCUGUGGUUUAGUUUGAGGUUUCUUGGACUCCGGAGUCAACGUGAAAAGGCCGUUCACCUUUAUGAGACUCACAAUUGCAGUAAAAUGUGUUAACUGUGUCCUCUUCUAACUUUUCUCGCUGCUUUGUGCUGCAGGUGGGAACGGUCAUUUGACCACUGACCUCACAGCAUCAUCUGUUUGACCAGCUGCAAAAUCCUUCACAGCUUUAUAGCAGCACACAGAGGGAGCCGACAUUGAGCAACAGCUCUUCGCAGGCGCUGCUUCGAGCAGCUGCAUAAACCAAAUUACAUGUAUUUUUAACCAAGUUUACGUAGUCAAACACUGAUUUCAUUGUGAGCUGAGCUGGAGGAGAGGUUGGUGCUCCUGGAUCUGGGGUUAAAAACCGAUGGUGUUCCUCUUUGAUACAGUCCUGUGGUUCCCAAAGGAAGGGGAAGGUAUAAAACGAGUACAAUUAGUCUUUACUGAAUCCACAGCGGGGAAAUACACAGGUUACAGGAACAGUAUAGACUCAUGGAAAGGACUCGUGUUUUUAGUUAAAGAAGAUCCUUGUGUGUCUUUCUUUAAUUCCUGUGAAUAUAGCAGUAUUUUGUUCAACUAAAUAGGCCUGGUUUUACACAGAGUUAGUAAAUUAAAACCAGAAGGCGUUUAACAAUAGUCCACAAAAGACACUUUUCUCUUCUCUCUUCAAGGUUAACUGUUUUUUCUUCCAUUUAAGGACUUGUUUCCAGUCUUAUAGAGUUUCAAUGUCUGAAGAUAGUCACAACUGACAAACACUGCAAAAAACAUAUGCUCCAACUGAAGAUAACAGAGUUUGUCAGGUCACAAGACCCAAGGACAGACACUCUGGUGAUAAAACUGUCUGUUGAGCUAAAGAGCUGUGUCUUUUUACAUUUGAUUUAAACGUAGGAAAUAUUCAAGAUGGUAGAAGCCUAGUGGCGCUUUGGCCCAGAGGCAAUGUCUGUGUCACUGGUGUGGAACCCCAGGGUUCACCUCCUGGUACCUUCCAGUGGACUCACCACCCGCAGGAAGGUUCAGAGGGGUUGGUACGGUGCAGUGCGAUUUGGGUGGUGGUCAUGGAGACUGCUGCCCCCGCGACCUGCAGCUUUUCCUCAGGCUGUUAGUACAUUUAAAUACUUCAGGGAUGUGUGUUUUUUCAUAUGCACUUCUGU